rnacentral:piRNA from 1 species
UAGAGUUCAAGUGGAGUCAUCAUGCUUUGU